rnacentral:rRNA from 1 species
AUGUAUGCGUUGCAAUUCAUGGAGAUGAACCCCCAGACCGACCAUGAAAAUGGCGAUCAGGGUCAAGUCGUCGAUACUGGGUACUGCGAGAUGAACGAGGAUUGUGAGAACUGUGCUUUCUGGAGGGAUCAUUACUACUGGGAUCACAUGGGUGACGAGAAGAAGCAAUUUUCUGCUGUAGCCAAGGGUGAUUUCAAGAACAGCAUCCGUAUACCACGGGAACUUUCAACCCAUUUGAGGAGUAGGAUCUCUGACACCAUUAAACUCAGCGCUCCUAAUGGCAGGGCAUAUGAUGUUGUGGUGACCUGGGAAUUCGGCGAGCUAGUUAUUCGGUCUGGCUGGGAUGCAUUUGUUACUGCGCACCAUAUAGAAGAAAAUGACACAUUCUUGUUCAUCUACCAUGGGAAUUCCAACUUUGAGAUUCAUAUAUUUAAUUCACACGGUUGUGAGAAGAUGGCUUCCUGCUUUCAAUCACCUUCAGAGAUCUUUGGAAUCUUUCCUCCCAGUGAGCCUUGUGAUCAUCAUGUGCUGAAUGGACAAGCUGCGCCUAAUCCAAGACAUGUUCAGACGCAAGUUGAGUUUGACUAUACCAUGUCAACUGGAUGCCAUCUAACCAAAUCACAAGAUGAGAAAGUUGUAGAAAUAGCCCGCAAAAUAAGGUCUGAGAUUCCUUUGUAUGUGGCAAUCAUGAAGAAACUUAAUGUCAACGUGAAGGACUGCUCUAUCAACAUACCAUUGAGGCUUGUGAGACAUUUAAAAGAGGAGGCAGGUAGUGCUAUUAUCAAACUAGAAGCCCCUGAUGGUAACAUAUACAAUGUUCGAGCUAGCAAGCACAGCGAGGAUCAAGUUGUCCUCCAAUCUGAUUGGGAUGCUUUUGUAGCUGCUAAUCACAUACAGUUGAAUGACCUCCUCAUUUUCCAUAGCAAGGGAAAAACUCGUCUCAAAGUUCUCGCACUGGACCCAAGUGGCUGUGAGAAAAACUCGUCAUGCUUUGACACAAAAAAUUUCUCCAAGGCUGGUGAAGGUUCAGUUUGGAUUACUGAUGCACGCCCUUGUACAGUUGAGAUUAUUGAUCUGACCAGCUCUGACGAUGAUCACACUGAGAGAGAAGAUGCUGGAAGAUCAUCUCGGAGGCGGAAGCAGGUACCGGGUUCUCAUGCAAAAGCUCGGAAGAUGGCUUUAGCGUCAUCCCCAUCCACAAAAUCAGGAUCUGAUACCCACAAGCUGAAACAUCCCAUCUCCAACAAUGACAAUCUUCAGGAGCCUUCCAGGCUUCCCUAUAUUUUAGCCAGAGGGAUAACUCUAACUGGGCCUGUGGAGAAGAAAGUUCAGGAGAAAGUCCAAGCAAUUGGAUCUGAACUUCCUAUCUAUGUGGCAGUGAUGACCAAAAGCUGUGUUUGUGGCCACCCCCUUUCUCUGGAAUUCUGCAAGGAAUAUGCUUCGACUCUUCCAAGCAGAGAUCAAACUCUCAUACUUGAGCUGGAGGACAAGGAGUGGCACACGGCAUUACACGUCAAUGGAAGUAGGAAAAUCAUUUACGGAGGCUGGUCAAAGUUCGCCUCUGACAAUAACCUGCAGCUGGGAGACAUCUGCCUCUUCAAAAUGGCAGAGCGCCGCACGAGAGGCCUUGCGAUGAGGGUCCAUAUCAUUUGCAAAUCGGGCGUAUUUCUGUAG